UGUUCAAGCCAACACCCGCUAGCUUAUGCUGAGUCUUUUUUUCCUGAAGAUACUCCUAAAGAAUACUCCAUGAUCUCAUCAGUAACACCAGCCCAUGUGACCGUAACUCUCACUCAACGGUACGUGACCUCUUUGAAACACAGUUUCAGUACUUGAGGGAUGUAUGGUUUGUAACCGGAAAACCAUUAUUCUACUUUGACACAUGUUCAUUAAAGGAUAUUCACUUCUUUUCACACAUCUUUUCCCAAGUCUCUUCCCCAUAUUAUUAUGUAUUAUCUGAUAUUUGAUAUUUGGGGGAUGCUGCCAUAAAGACGUAGUAUAGCAUAGACUUCAGAUCACAUGUUCAGGGAACCUAUCAACUGAGCUCUCUAAAGUGUUAAAGCAAAUUUGUUUUCACCUGCAAUCUUAUUUCCUGUGACCUAGGAGAAUUUGGCGCUUUGUACCUCAACAUAUUUUGGAGACAUUAGUUUCUCAGUGUGAUCUGCAAUUGUUCUCAUACUGAUUUACCAGAAAGUACAGGACAGGUUCUAGUGUCUGUACGCCCACUCUUUACUUUCUCCUUUUGCAAAAGAACCACUUAUUUGUAAAGGCAGACUUUCCUCUACCCGCUGCCAUGUGGUUUCAAUAGGUGCUGUCACUCAGAUAAACUGCUGCCCUAGCCACAUGAGUAAAACUCUGAUCUGAAUGGGCCAAUCAGACUGCUUCACUUUUCUUGCCAAAAUGAUUUGGCUUAAAGAGUUGUGUUAGGCAGAACUAUGACCUCCCAAGGACAGUCGCAUCCUGAUCCCAAGAAGCUCUGAAUGUGUUAUGUUACAUGGCAAAAGGGAAUUCAAGUGGCAGAUAGAAUUGAAGUUGUUAAUCAACUCACUUUAAAAUAGAGAGAGUACCUUGGAUUACCCAGGUGGACCCAAUGUAAUCACAAGCAUACUUAAAAAUGGAAGAGGUACACAGAAGAGAAGUUUGGAUCAAUAUGAUAUGAAAACUCAAUCUGCUGUUGUUGGCUUUGAACUUGGAGGAAGGGGGCCAUGGACACAGGAAUGCAGGUGACCUCUAGAAGCUAGAAAACCAAGGAGAUGCAUUUUCCCUUAGAGCCUCCAGAAAGGAAUAAAGUUCUACUGGCAUCUUGAUUUUGGCUCAGAGAUCGAUUUCAGACUUCCAAACUGCAGAACCAUAAGAGGAGAAAAUAUACAAAGAGAAGAUGAAGAGACAACCAAAUUUACUCGUCAAAACAAGUUUCACAGCUCCUCCUGCUCCAGAAGGUUCCGUUUGCUUUAUGAAAAUGAAGCUGUCUUGUUUUCUGGUUCAUAAAUCAUUGUCAAGCGGAGCUAGAUAACAGAAACAAGUUCAGAUUCUGGAAUGAUUAUCCUUAGAGAUGAUGUAUUAAAUAUACAGAAUACAACUUGAUUUUCAUAAGCCACGUUGACUUUGCAGAACUAAGGCUGCAGGGGAAAAUUAUUUCAUAAGAGGAGGGGUGAGAGCUCGCAAAAUCUAACCAGGUGGGAACGAUGGGAGAGGGAAGGAAGUAGAGCAUUUUCACAUGUAAAGAUGUGUCUGCUUUCUCCAGUUUUCUCUCUAUUAUUUACCUAAUGUCAUUUAAGCAUUUGGUGCCUCUGUCUUCUAUUAACAAUAUGGGAAGCAUCUUUAGAAAAGAAGAGCUUCUCCUUCUUCCUAGAUUAACUACCGCUUUUCUUUCAUCCUCUUCUCUGAAUAUUGUGGUAUCAUGUAAAAUAUUUCUUCUACCUCUUCGUAACUUAACCUCUCCCCCUGCAAUGAGCUUGGUUUGAGUUGUACUUUUGGAGUUCCAUAUCUCAUACCCAGUAGGCUUUCUAAUGCCUCACCAGAGCCGCACAAUCCACGGGAGUGAAAUCUGGAGAAAAAUCACAGUGGAGUGAGAAAGAGUCACAGAAAUACCCUGAGAUCAGAAGUGUCUUUGUGGUAACUCAGGGAACAGGUUUCUUGCCACUGAAUGGUGCUGAAGCUGAUUUCCUUCUGAAUGAAGACUUCAGACCACCAAGCCAACUUAAAAAUGUAUUUUGCUGAAAAAGAGAGGUUUCUUCUGUGUAAAAUGUAUUUUACUUCCUAUUCAACUGCUUAGUUCCUAUUGGAGCUCUGUAUUAGUCUGUUCUCACGCUGCUAAUAAAGACAUACCCGAGACUGGGUAAGUAAUAAAGAAAAAGAGGUUUAAUGAUCUCACAGUUCCACGUGGCUGGAGAGGCCUCCCAAUCAUGGCAGAUGGAAAAAGCAUGUCUUACAGGGUGGCAGACAAGAGAAAAUGAGAAACAAGUGAAAAAGGUUUCCCCUUAUAAAACCAUCAGUUCUUGUGAAACUUAUUCACUACCACGAGAACAGUAUGGGAGAAACCACCCUUGUGAUUCAAUUAUGUCCCAACGGGUCCCUCCCACAACGUGUGGGAUUAUGGGAGCUACAAUUCAAGAUGAGAUUUGGGUGAGGACAAAGCUAAACCACAUCAAGCUCCAAAUCUCAUUUCAGACAUGAAGCCUCCUCUCC
rnacentral:lncRNA from 1 species